GGAGCGCGGUGUGUGCGAGAGCGCCGGGGGUGUCCGCGCAGGGAUAGCUGGUGUGCGUGCAGCGGAAGGCGCUAACUGCCCUGGAUGUGGAGACCCGCGGACUGGACGUGAGAGGCGGGCAGGGGCAGUUGGGGCAGCUGCCCCUACAACACUGAAGAAUUGGAAUAGGAAAGAGUGUGGGGGUAGGGGACGGGGACUCUUUGUCUGCAGUUGGAAUGCGCGGAGGGGCAUGGUGGAAUGUGUCGCGUCCCGGGACCGGACGACAGGAGGCAUGUUCUGCGCUAGCACCGUGACUUUGUUCCCAGCGUGGGGACUGUGGGAGAGAUGGAGAGAGACUGGUACAGAAAUGGUGAGACAAGGAGAGAGCCAUAAAGAGGAAGACAGAGAGAAAGAAGACAAAUGCAUAAAGAGGUUCAGAGACGUGUGACUGUGGAGAUCGAAGGCCUGGUUUUAGGGCUAGCGAACACCUUCUCCCUUUGGUUUUGGUCCACAGAAGACUGGUGAUACAGAUUGCAUUGUCUCCCUGACCUCAUCUCCCCUGAGAAUCAGCCUCUGUUUCCCUGGUCAAGGCCACGGCUUUUCUCUGAUCCUGAGGAGAGUUUCCUACCAGAGUGGAAGCAGGGAGGACUGAAAGCACUAGGAACAGAGGGGAGCUAUCGGAUUGCAUCUAGAACCUGCUGUGAGCAACAUCUUCAGAAUUAACCAUAAUGUGUUCCCUCCUUUCCUGUGUCCAGAUGAGGAAGGAGAACUUUGAUUCUUCCUUCCAAUUACAUCCAAAAUAUCCACACAACUACUAAUAUUUGGAAGCUUUGAUCCUUUGGGGUGAGGAUGCGAGAGGAAAUCUUAUGAAAUGUUGGGAGGCCAUUAAAGGAGGCCCAUGCAAGAGUUGGUGGUAGCAAUGGGCACAACUGGGAUGAACAGCCUGUGUUUUCAAGGGAUAACUGGAAGCAGAGAUGAGUGAAGGGGAAGAAGUAGAAGACGCAUAUGCUAAUAGGGCAUGCUCCAAUAGUGCUCAUGACCUCAGGUGGCCUCUCCACAGUCUAAACUGGAGCUGGGAUCUCCAAAGGCCCUCUUCGUUCCCAAGACUUUAAUUAUAAUCUGUAUAUGCAGGUGACUCCCUAAUCCAUAUUUCCAGCCCAGUCUUUCUUGGAAUUAAAAACUCAACUAACUACUAGCAUCUCCAAUGGCUGUCUCAGAAGCACCCAAUAUCCUAAACUGAUCUCAUCUUCUCUGCCUCAUGAAACUGGCUCCUCUAACAUUCUCUGAGUAAAUGGCACAAUCCUGUUAGCUGCUUAAACUAGAAAUCUGAGCGUCAACCCUAUGUCCUCCUUCUCCCUUAACCUCAAAUCCAACCAAGUCCUAUCAAUCACCAAGUUCUAUUAAUUCUGCUUCCUAAACAUCUUCCAAAUCUGUCCUCCCCUCAUCACCACUAUAUAUGUCAAGUCACCGUCUUUCCUCUCCGAAACCAAUGCAAAAGUCUCCUGGCCAAGGCUUGCUCCCUGCAAUCCAUCUUAUACCCUGAGGUCAAGUGAUUUUUUUCAGUACAGAAGCUUUACGACUUACAAUGGAGUUAUGUCUGAAUAAACCCAUCCAUUAUAAAUUGAAAAUAUCGUAAGGCAGAAGUGCUUCUUCAACUUCACCAUAUUUUCAGCUUAAAAUGGGUUUAUCUGAUAUAACUGCAUCAUAAGGUGAGGAGCAUACUGAAUCAUUUCGCACCAUCGUAAAGUUGAAAAAUCCUAAGUCGAACCAUCGUUGAGUUGGGGACUGCCUGUAGGCAAAACCUGUCGUUUUAUUUCCCUGCUAAAACAAACUUUCAAUGAUUUCUCACUGCCCUUGGGUUGAAGUCUGUACUCUGUAUUAUGAGGUCUGUCUCACUCUCCAGCCUCUCCUCUAGCAUUAUCCCUUCCCCAAAAGUCUGCAGUAGAACUGGACCUUGUCUGUACUCUCUCUUGCCCCUGGACUUUUGUACCUGCAGUUCCCUGUUUGGAACACUCUCUUAGCCUCCCCUUUCCUUCUGGUUAACUCUUCCCCAGUUUAGACAUUACACCCUCUCAGAAGAAGCCUUUCCAGACUGCAAGAGUAGGUUAGCUACCCCUGCUGUAUAUUGCCAUAGUGCACUACACUCCACCAUGGUCACCCUUAUCACAGUUCAUUUCAUUGCCUACUCCACUGCCUGGCUUCCUGACUAAACUAAAAAAAUCUCUGAACAGCAUCCAACCUUAUCAACAAUGUAUCCAUAGCACAGUACCUGACACCUAGUAAAGCGAUCAAUGUUUGUUAUAAGACUGAAUAAAUGUAAAGCCAUUUUUGCUUUUCAAUCCAUCCAAAAUGCACACCCCUUCCUCAAAAUACAGCUUGGCUGACAGGACCAAGAAACAGCUACAAAGCUGUGUAUUUUGCUUGGUCACAUAGUGAGAGAGAGGCUGCCGGUGAGACACGGGAACUCUUUAAGCCUUAAUUUCCUCAUCUGUAAGAUAGGAAUAGUAAAAUUUUCCUCAUGUAAUUCAAUAAACAAUAGCUAUUAUAUCAGGAACCCAAUUCCCCAAUAGUGAUAGAACUUGUGUUCCCUUGGUCAGAAGACUCAAGCUCAUGACUGAAACUGCCCACCAGGUGGCGGUAUUAACCUGCACUGGUCAUGUUCGGUUUCCACUGCAGAGCAAGACAAGUAGUCACAGGGAAGCAAAAGGUACAACCUGGGCUGCUUCCUCAGAGCUUUGGGUGGAACUGGGCAGGGGCAGAAACAACUCAGAGACAGGGCAUAUGUCAAGAAGGCCUCAUGUUUCUUGGACCCAUCCUCCUCAUUUUCUCAUCCCAGG
rnacentral:lncRNA from 1 species